GAUGAACGCUGACAGAAUGCUUAACACAUGCAAGUCAACUUGAACUUCGGUUUGGGUGGCGGACGGGUGAGUAACGCGUAAAGAACUUGCCUCACAGAUAGGGACAACAUUUGGAAACGAAUGCUAAUACCUGAUAUUAUGAUUAUAUGGCAUCGUAUAAUUAUGAAAGCUAUAUGCGCUGUGAGAGAGCUUUGCGUCCCAUUAGCUAGUUGGAGGGGUAACGGCUCACCAGGGCGAUGAUGGGUAGCCGGCCUGAGGGGGUGAUCGGCCACAAGGGGACUGAGACACGGCACUUACCUCCGCGGGGGGGAGGAGGGGGGUAUUGUGGAAAAGGGACCAAGAGGAUGAAGCAGCAAUUCGGGGGGGACGAUGGAGUUUUGCGGGAAGUAAAGUGCUUUCAGGGGGGAAGAAAAAAAUGACGGUACCAACAGAAGAAGUGACGGCUAAAUACGUG
rnacentral:rRNA from 1 species